rnacentral:tRNA from 1 species
UGUAGCUCAGUGGUAGAGUGCUUACCUAGCAUGUGUGAGGCCCUGGGAUUAAUUCCCAGCA